GAUUCUCACUUUAGGGUAAGAUAAAAGUGGAGCCUGCAAUAGUGCACUUCAGCAGGUCUCACUGUGGAGCACACGUGAUAAUGCACUUCAGCAGGUCUCACUGUGGAGCACACGUGAUAGUGCACUUCAGCAGGUCUCACUGUGGAGCACACGUGAUAGUGCACUUCAGCAGGUCUCACUGUGCUCAUAUCUGGUUCAUGAAAGUGGCCUGGGCUAUUUUUUCAACUUCAAAUGUGAACACACCUUCAGAUGGUAACUUAAGGAAGCCCAGCAAUGUCUGUUUGGGAGAGAGUAUCACAAGGCAACAGAUAACCAAAACAC